CGUAGGUGGCGAGCGUUGUCCGGAUUUAUUGGGUUUAAAGGGUGCGUAGGCGGUCCUAUAAGUCAGUGGUGAAAUAUCGCAGCUUAACUGUGAGGGUGCCAUUGAUACUGUAGGACUUGAGUGAAUUUGAGGUAGGCGGAAUUGACGGUGUAGCGGUGAAAUGCUUAGAUAUCGUCAAGAACACCGAUAGUGAAGACAGCUUACCAAGCUUCAACUGACGCUGAGGCACGAAAGUGUGGGGAUCAAACAGGAUUAGAUACCCUGGUAGUCCACACUGUAAACGUUGAUUACUCGCUGUUGGCGAUACACAGCCAGCGGCUAAGCGCAAGCGAUAAGCAAUCCACCUGGGGAGUACGCCGGCAACGGUG
rnacentral:rRNA from 1 species